UGACGCAUCACAAAGAGCCUACGGGGCAUG
rnacentral:sRNA from 1 species